UACGUAGGGUGCGAGCGUUGUCCGGAAUUAUUGGGCGUAAAGGGCUCGUAGGCGGUUUGUCGCGUCGGGAGUGAAAACCAGGUGCUUAACACCUGGCUUGCUUUCGAUACUGGCAGACUAGAGGUAUUCAGGGGAGAACGGAAUUCCUGGUGUAGCGGUGAAAUGCGCAGAUAUCAGGAGGAACACCGGUGGCGAAGGCGGUUCUCUGGGAAUGACCUGACGCUGAGGAGCGAAAGUGUGGGGAGCGAACAGG
rnacentral:rRNA from 1 species